rnacentral:rRNA from 1 species
UGCAUGGGGACCUGACGCAGCACGCCGCGUGGAGGAAGAAGGUCUUCGGAUUGUAAACUCCUGUCUUCAGGGACGAAAAAAAUGACGGUACCUGAGGAGGAAGCCACGGCUAACUACGUGCCAGCAGCCGCGGUAAUACGUAGGUGGCAAGCGUUGUCCGGAAUUAUUGGGCGUAAAGGGCGCGUAGGCGGUACCCUAAGUCAGAUGUGAAACCCGGGGCUUAACUCCGGAGGUGCAUUUGAAACUGGGGAACUUGAGUGCAGGAGAGGUAAGUGGAAUUCCUAGUGUAGCGGUGAAAUGCGUAGAUAUUAGGAGGAACACCAGUGGCGAAGGCGACUUACUGGACUGUAACUGACGCUGAGGCGCGAAAGCGUGGGGGGCAAACAGGAUUAGAUACCCUGGUAGUCCACGCUGUAAACGAUGGAUACUAGGUGUGGGUGGUAUCGACCCCUUCCGUGCCGCAGUAAACGCAAUAAGUAUCCCGCCUGGGGAGUACGGCCGCAAGGUUGAAACUCAAAGGAAUUGACGGGGGCCCGCACAAGCAGCGGAGCAUGUGGUUUAAUUCGAAGCAACGCGAAGAACCUUACCAGAACUUGACAUCCCCUGCAUAGUGAGUAAUAUCAUGAAGUCUUUCGGGACAGGGAGACAGGUGGUGCAUGGUUGUCGUCAGCUCGUGUCGUGAGAUGUUGGGUUAAGUCCCGCAACGAGCGCAACCCCUAUUGUUAGUUGCCAGCAUUUAGUUGGGCACUCUAAUGAGACUGCCGAGACAUUCGGAGGAGGUGGGGAUGACGUCAAAUCAUCAUGCCCUUAUGUUCUGGGCUACCACGUGCUACAAUGGGUAGACACGGGAUGCAGCUAGUGAUAGCAGCCACCCUAAAAUACCUCAGUCAGAUGUAGCUGAAACUCGCUACUGAGUCGAGUUGCUAGUAUCCGAUCAGCAUGUCCGUGAUACGUCCGCUGUAACACCGGCGUCAACAUGGGAUUGAGCACGAGCGGACUACCGUAGGAGAGCGUCAGUAGUCAUGACUGGGUGAGCUACGUACCGAUCGAAGGCCGUUAUAACUCUCUCUUAGGCAUUCUUAACUAG